UCUCUAUGCACUAACACCAACGCACAUAUUCGGGUUAAUUGUCAAUUGUGUUAAAAUAAAAUCCCAAAAAGGGUAAUAAAAAAACGAUUGAAAGACACGUGCCAUUCGCGCUCUUACAACAAGAAGUAAUCCCCUCCGGAUGCAAUGCACUUAUGCCAACGGAUUUUCCAAUCUUCGAAACACUGGUUGUAGUCACUUUCCGGGAUGGCCUUCAGUUCCGUCUUUAUUUUAUGGGAUUUUUUUUUAAAUAAUUUGCAAAUAAUUACUUCAUUUGUUUUUAUAGCAUUGGAAAUCAGGAAAACAGAAUUGGAAAAGCAGCAGCAGCAAAUAAAAAUUGUUAAAUGUUAAUUAUUUUUUUUAAAUUAAAUAUAUUUUUAUUACACAAUGUUAGCUUUAAUAUAUUUAAUUAUAAUAAAUUUUAUGUAAAU